AGAUGAAGAACGCAGCGAAAUGCGAUAAGUAAUGUGAAUUGCAGAAUUCCGUGAAUCAUCGAAUCUUUGAACGCACAUUGCGCCCCCUGGUAUUCCGGGGGGCAUGCCUGUCCGAGCGUCAUUACAAACCCUCAAGCACGGCUUGUGUGAUGGGCUGUAGCGUCCCUUUCCUUGAGGGACGGGCCCCAAAUGUAGUGUGCGGCGCGGUGCGCUUGGCUGCAGUGUAUGGGAACUUCUCACACUCGCGGUGCGUCACCACACCUGCCAUCUCUAUCAUUCUUCUCGGUUUGACCUCGGAUCAGGUAGGGAUACCCGCUGAACUUAAGCAUAUCAAUAAGCGGAGGA
rnacentral:misc_RNA from 1 species